CACUCGUCAACCCAUAGGGCCUCUUCUCCCAGCAGUGGGAAUGGUAUUGUCUCAAAGGAGGAAAACGGGAAAAGAUCUGCUCCACCCCCCCCCUUUUUUUCCCCCCCGGUAAUGGUAUCAACUGGUUUUUUAAAGAGACAGAGCAGAAGACACGGGUCCUUCCUUGGCUGUAAGCUGUACCGCCCUUACCUCCCUCCAUUCAUCCUGGCACCGCCUCUCCAAUUAGCAUAGACCAACCCCAUACUUCAAGGUAGUUUUCGUUCCACCGCCUCUUCCUUUUAAAGAUACAACCACCCAAUCGCGUUCUUUAAAGCGACACACAGCCUUUGCUAUUCCUCUCGCCCGCCGCCAAUCUCCUCCUGGAACUCCUCACCAUCACCCUGAAUGCAGCACGUUCGCUGUAACCGAUCGAAAGCCAUAAAAGUCUCGUGUGAGACCCAUAGCAGAUUUUUCAGUAAGAGUUCCUGGUUCUCUCGGUAGAAGGACCCCAGGCGGGCGGGCGGGCAGGCGGGCUGGCUAACACCUCCCAAGCCGAAAGCUCCUUUGCUAGGAGAGGCAUGCGAGGUUGAGGAGCACCUCCCCAGCCUAAACCACACCCAGCCCGGGCACACACAGCAUGCCCGGUUCCCACACCUCAAGGCCUCCCAACUCCCAGCUCUGGAAUACGUUAUCUCUGGGCCCUCCCCUUGGAAUCUAUUCCCUCCUGGGAAACUGCCAGUUCGCUGCAGUCCAUCACAUUACCCAGAGGUGGUAUUCAGCAGAUUCUGACUAGUUCUGGAGAAUCGGUAGCAGAAAUUUUGAGUAGUUCAGAGAACUGGCUGAUGAAUCCAAGUUAUUGUACCAACUAGCUGGAUAUCUGUGCUUCGCUACGAAACUAUGUGAUCCGGCUUGAUAAAUCGACACUUACAGCUUGAAAAUUAAUAAGUAGUUACGAUUGGCCUCUCCUCUCCCCUUCUUUCCCUCAGCUUUGCCCCACAGAUCCCUAUCAUAUCCCCCUUCUCUCCCUCAGCCUUGCCCCACAGAAACAUCUCCUAUCCUGUCCCCUUCUCUCCCUCAGCCUUGCCCCACAGAAGCCUCCCCUAUCCUAUCCCCUUCUCUCCCUCAGCCUUGCCCUACAGAAGCUUCCCCUAUCCUAUCCCCUGGUUGCUGCUGUGAAAGUAAAACUGAAAGUGAAACUCCUCUAUUUGUUUUGCAUUUGGAACAGAUUUCUUUUCAGGUGGGGAGGGGGAGUCGAACUCCUUAGCAUCAGUGUGUGUUAAUCAUAAUAUAUGAAAUACAAAUGCUCUGAUGGUCAUUUCGAAAAAUCCUUUCUUAGUGAGCACCUAGAAGCCAAGAGGAACAUAUGUGGCAUAAGUUUGUAAGGAACAUAUGCAGCAUAAGUUUGUAAGCUUUACAGUUCUGGAGAUUUCAUGAUUAUGGCGUGAGUGGUUUUCACUUUUAUAUAUAUAGAUUAGAGAG